rnacentral:rRNA from 1 species
UACAGAGGUCCCGAGCGUUGUUCGGAUUCAUUGGGCGUAAAGGGUGCGCAGGCGGCGGGGCAAGUCUGAUGUGAAAUCCCGGGGCUCAACCCCGGAACUGCAUUGGAUACUGCCUUGCUAGAGUACUGGAGAGGGAACUGGAAUUUACGGUGUAGCAGUGAAAUGCGUAGAGAUCGUAAGGAAGGCCAGUGGCGAAGGCGAGUUCCUGGACAGUUACUGACGCUGAGGCACGAAGGCCAGGGGAGCAAACGGG